GGUGUACUUUUGCAUAAUGGGUCAGCAAGUUAACAUUAGAUGCGAGAAAAUGUGGUAGUUAACACCAAACGUCAAGACUGGUCGUUUAGNUUUUACAUAUGGAUCAGGAUUAUAAAAGUCCGAACGGGUGAUUGUGGCAAAAAUCUCCGAAGAAUCGUGGUAGGUAUAGUGAAAGACAAUACUGACUAGGAUAGCUGGUUUUCUACGAAACAUA
rnacentral:rRNA from 1 species